CAUUAAGAAGCUUUUACAGCAUUAGCCUUUUAAGCUAAAGACAGAAACGAAAUUUCCUUAGUGA
rnacentral:tRNA from 1 species